AACNAANGNUGGCGGCGCGUCUUAAGCAUGCAAGUCGGACGGGAACCUUGGGGGGUAACUCCUGAGGUGAGAGUGGCGAACGGGUGAGUAACACGUAGGUGAUCUGCCCUUGGGUGGGGAAUAGCCCAUGGAAACAUGGGGUAAUACCGCAUGAAGUCUUGGCCCUUUGGGGUCUUGAUGAAAGGAGCAAUUGCUUCGCCUGGGGAUGAGCCUGCGGUCCAUUAGCUAGUUGGUGAGGUAAGGGCCCACCAAGGCGACGAUGGAUAGCCGGCCUGAGAGGGUGAACGGCCACACUGGAACUGAGACACGGUCCAGACUCCUACGGGAGGCAGCAGCUAAGAAUCUUCGGCAAUGGCCUAACGGCUGACCGAGCGACGCCGCGUGGACGAAGAAGGCCGCAAGGUUGUAAAGUCCUUUUCUUGACGAAGAAUAAGGCAGGGAGUGGAAAGCUCUGCUGAUGACGUUAGUCGAGGAAGAAGCCCCGGCCAAUUACGUGCCAGCAGCCGCGGUAACACGUAUGGGGCGAGCGUUGUUCGGAAUUACUGGGCGUAAAGGGCGUGUAGGCGGUUUAGCAAGCCUGGUGUGAAAGUCUCCGGCCCAACCGGGGGAUUGCACUGGGAACUGCUGGGCUUGAGUCCUGGAGGGGGAGCUGGAAUUCCUGGUGUAGGG
rnacentral:rRNA from 1 species